GCAAUGCGGUGAGUACGAUAAUUUGGCAACGCUGGGCGGCCAUCACUUGGAGCUGAGAGAGGACAGAGGACGGGUGUGUAUGGCGAAGCUCCGUAUUAUCAAGGGAUGGAAGUGGAACCAAGGAUCAUCGGAAGACAGUUGCGGCCAAGACUCGAGACACCUUCGUUGGUUAUCAGCGAAGACGACCGGCACUGGCGGGAGUUGGAUAUGUGCAAGUUCGCAUCACUCAAGAUCCUCCAGGAUGACGCCGCAUGUUCUGCCUCGACCCCUGAACUUGUUUCCCAGUAAAUGGAGCAUUGUCUAAGGAUACAUUCAUAGCUUUUAUAUCUGAUUUAGAAGUAAUGGUCAGUGUUACUUGGAGGACAAGACUUAGAGAUGCCGGCAGUGGGGAGUUUUUCAUCAGCUCAGUUUAUAUGCCUCCAGAGAAGCCUCACCCACUUUUGGCAAAUCAUCACGUCUCUUAGGACAGUAGACUAGAGAAUGUUUACAGUUAUGGACCAUGACUACGAAGUUAAUAUAUAUUGCACCAGUGUAGCAGUUAUGCAUAUCAGGAAUGUCAAUGCCUGCUGAGGUGUGGUCGGUUACUAGUUGGCUAAAUUGAUAUGAAUGACUAACUUCCUGAUACCCACAACCAUCUUUUUACAAUUAUGGACCAUGACUGUGAUGGUUAUGUAUGACCAAGAAACGUGAUGAAAUGCAGGUGCUAGUGAACAAGGCUUCUUUGGAGGCAUAUAAACUGAGGUUAAUGAAAAAGCAACUGCCGGAACCUCAGGUCUUUGAGUACUCAAGUAACAAUGCAUGUUUACUUCUAUAUCAGAUAAA